UUGGUGGGGUGAUGGCCUACCAAGGCGACGACGGGUAGCCGGCCUGAGAGGGCGACCGGCCACACUGGGACUGAGACACGGCCCAGACUCCUACGGGAGGCAGCAGUGGGGAAUCUUGCGCAAUGGGCGAAAGCCUGACGCAGCGACGCCGCGUGAGGGAUGACGGCCUUCGGGUUGUAAACCUCUUUCAGCCCUGACGAAGCGAAAGUGACGGUAGGGGCAGAAGAAGCACCGGCCAACUACGUGCCAGCAGCCGCGGUAAUACGUAGGGUGCAAGCGUUGUCCGGAAUUAUUGGGCGUAAAGAGCUCGUAGGUGGCCUGUCGCGUCGGCUGUAAAAACUCGGGGCUCAACUCCGAGCUUGCAGUCGAUACGGGCAGGCUAGAGUGCGGCAGGGGAGACUGGAAUUCCUGGUGUAGCGGUGAAAUGCGCAGAUAUCAGGAGGAACACCGGUGGCGAAGGCGGGUCUCUGGGCCGAUACUGACACUGAGGAGCGAAAGCGUGGGGAGCGAACAGGAUUAGAUACCCUGGUAGUCCACGCCGUAAACGUUGGGCGCUAGGUGUGGGAUCCCUUCCACGGGUUCCGUGCCGCAGCUAACGCAUUAAGCGCCCCGCCUGGGGAGUACGG
rnacentral:rRNA from 1 species